rnacentral:rRNA from 1 species
GAUGAACGCUAGCGGGAGGCCUAACACAUGCAAGCCGAGCGGUAUUGUUUCUUCGGAAAUGAGAGAGCGGCGUACGGGUGCGGAACACGUGUGCAACCUGCCUUUAUCUGGGGGAUAGCCUUUCGAAAGGAAGAUUAAUACUCCAUAAUAUAUUGAACGGCAUCGUUUAAUAUUGAAAGCUCCGGCGGAUAGAGAUGGGCACGCGCAAGAUUAGCUAGUUGGUGAGGUAACGGCUCACCAAGGCAAUGAUCUUUAGGGGGCCUGAGAGGGUGAUCCCCCACACUGGUACUGAGACACGGACCAGACUCCUACGGGAGGCAGCAGUGAGGAAUAUUAGUCAAUGGGUGCAAGCCUGAACCAGCCAUCCCGCGUGAAGGACGACUGCCCUAUGGGUUGUAAACUUCUUUUGUAUAGGGAUAAACCUACCCUCGUGAGGGUAGCUGAAGGUACUAUACGAAUAAGCACCGGCUAACUCCGUGCCAGCCGCCGCGGUAAUAC